rnacentral:rRNA from 1 species
UUAGAGUUUGAUCCUGGCUCAGGAUGAACGCUAGCGGCAGGCUUAACACAUGCAAGUCGAGGGGCAGCAUGUCCAGCAAUGGAUGAUGGCGACCGGCGGAAGGGUGCGUAACGCGUGAGCAACAUGCCCUAUACAGGGAGAUACACCAGGGAAACUUGGUCUAAUAUCCCAUAGCAUUCAUUGAAGGCAUCUUUAAUGAAUUAAAGCUUCGGUGGUAUAGGAUUGGCUCGCGUGACAUUAGCCAGAUGGUGAGGUAACGGCUCACCAUAGCAAUGAUGUCUAGGGGUUUUGAGAGGAAGGCCCCCCACACUGGGACUGAGACACGGCCCAGACUCCUACGGGAGGCAGCAGUGAGGAAUAUUGGACAAUGGAUGGAAAUCUGAUCCAGCCAUGCCGCGUGCAGGAAGACGGCCUUAUGGGUUGUAAACUGCUUUUAUACGGGAGCAAUAAGGGUUACGAGUAAUCCGAUGAGAGUACUGUAUGAAUAAGGAUCGGCUAACUCCGUGCCAGCAGCCGCGGUAAUACGGAGGAUCCGAGCGUUAUCCGGAAUUACUGGGUGUAAAGGGUGAGUAGGCGGGGAUACAAGUCAGAUGUGAAAACUGUGGGCUCAACUCACAGCCUGCAUUUGAAACAGUAUCUCUUGAGAGUCGGAGAGGUAAACGGAAUUCCCAGUGUAGUGGUGAAAUGCGUAAAUAUUGGGAGGAACACCAGUGGCGAAGGGCGUUUAAUGGGACAACAACUGACGCUGAGACACGAAAGCGGGGGGGAGCAAACAGGAUUAGAUACCCUGGUAGUUCACGCCGUAAACGAUGAAUGAUAGGUGUAGGGGGUGAAUAAACACCUGUGCCGGAGUAAACACAAUAAGCAUUCCACCUGGGGAGUACGGCCGCAAGGUUGAAACUCAAAGGAAUUGACGGGAGCCCGCACAAGCAGUGGAGUAUGUGGUUCAAUUCGAUGCAACGCGAAGAACCUUACCGGAGCUUGACAUCCUAAGAAUACCGAUGUAAUGUUGGUAGUGCUCCUUCGGGAGAACUUAGAGACAGGUGGUGCAUGGUUGUCGUCAGCUCGUGUCGUGAGAUGUUGGGUUAAGUCCCGCAACGAGCGCAACCCCUACGGUUAGUUGUUACGCAAGAGCACUCUAGCCGGACUGCCGUUGGCAAAACGGAGGAAGGUGGGGAGGACGUCAAAUCAUCAUGCCCCUUACGUUCCGGGCUACACACGUACUACAAUGGCGUUAACAAAGGGAAGAGAAUUCGCGAGGAGGAGCAAACCCCAUAAAAGACGCCCCAGUUCGGACUGCAGGCUGCAACCCGCCUGCACGAAGUUGGAAUUGCUAGUAAUCGCGGAUCAUCAUGCCGCGGUGAAUAAGUUCCCGGGCUUUGUACACACCGCCCG